GGACUACAAGGGUUUCUAAUCCCGUUUGCUCCCCUGGCUUUCGCGCCUCAGCGUCAGAAAAGGUCCAGCACGUCGCUUUCGCCACCGGCGUUCCUUCCGAUAUCUACGCAUUUCACCGCUCCACCGGAAGUUCCACAUGCCCCUACCUCCCUCGAGAUCGGUGGUAUCCAGGGCCGUUCUCUCGUUAAGCGAGAGGAUUUCACCCCAGACGGACCGACCCGCCUACGCGCCCUUUAAGCCCAGUGAAUCCGAACAACGUUCGCACGGUUCGUCUUACCGCGGCUGCUGGCAC
rnacentral:rRNA from 1 species